GGGGUGUUAGCUCAGUUGGUAGAGCACUUGAUUUGCACUCAAGGGGUCGUGGGUUCAAGUCCCUUACGCUCCACCA
rnacentral:tRNA from 1 species